rnacentral:tRNA from 1 species
GCAAUGGCUCAGUGAUAGUGUGUCUGCUUGUCAUGUAGAGGGUCCCAGGUGCAAUACCUGGCAACUGCA